rnacentral:lncRNA from 1 species
AUUGUAUUACUAAUUCCCUCUGCUAAUCUAAGAAACUGAAACCACAGCCUGGCCAAGUUUCUAUUAAAAUUAUAGGAAUUUGUACCUUGGUCACUGAGUCUCAGGUUGUUGUAAGGGGCAGCUUCCUCUUAGCAUAACAGGUAACACCUGGAACUAUUUCCCUUGGAGCAGCUGAGCAAAUAGGCUGUACAGGAAGCAUGGCUGGAGAGGCUUCAGGAAACUUACAAUCAUGGCAGAAGGCGAAGAGGGAGGAGGAACGUCUUACAUGGCCGAAGCAGGAGAAAGAGAGCAAAGGUUGUUCGUGUUAAGAUUCUGUGAAGCUACUCAAACAGAUUCACACGGC